rnacentral:lncRNA from 1 species
AUGGGCACAGCCCACAGAGGAGAGGGAAGCCUGAGCUCCCAGAGCCAUAAAGAAAUAAGUAAAGCCAUGGCACCAUCUGGUGUUUCUCCAGGUUCCAGCACUUGUCCCUGCAGCCCACGGCAGACGGAUUUUCCAAAUGCCCCUUUGGCUGCGUUAGGGUGGAAAUGCAGCCAGAGGAAUCACCUCCAGAGGAGUCACCUCCAGAGCAAUCACCUCCAGAGCAAUCACCUCCAGAGAAAUCACCUCCAGAGGAAUCACCUCCAGAGGAGUCACCUCCAGGGCAAUCACCUCCAGGGCAAUCACCUCCAGAGGAGUCACUUCCAGAGCAAUCACCUCCAGAGGAAUCACCUCCAGAGAAAUCACCUCCAGAGAAAUCACCUCCAGAGGAGUCACCUCCAGAGCAAUCACCUCCAGAGGAGUCACCUCCAGAGCAAUCACCUCCAGAGCAAUCACCUCCAGAGCAAUCACCUCCAGAGAAGUCACUUCCAGAGCAAUCACCUCCACAGGAACCAGAGGAAUCACCUCCAGAGGAAUCACCUCCACAGGAAUCAGAGGCAUCACCUCCAGAGGCAUCACCUCCAGAGGCAUCACCUCCAGAGGCAUCACCUCCAGAGGAAUCAUCUCCAGAGGAAUCACCUCCAGAGGAAUCACCUCCAGAGGAAUCAGAGGAAUCACCUCCCUGACUCGGUCCCACUGCCGGCCGGGGGCUUGGCUGCGGAAUUCCGGGACACCCCGAGGCGGCUCCGGGACAUCCCGAGGAGGCUCCGGGACACCCCGAGGAGGCCCCGGGACACCCCGAGGAGGCCCCGGGACACACGGAGCAGCGUCCCUGGCACACACAGCUCGCAGACAGCACCGCCACAGCGCGGUCCCAGCAGCACCGUCCCCUCUCAUCUCCCGUUUCCUGACCGGCCAUUCCCUGCCCCGUGCAAACCGGGAGCGCUCCCUGCGCCCCGCACUCGCUGGGGAAUUCUGCCCCGCUGCUGUGCAGGAGCGCUGGGACAUUUCCAGAGGGGCAGAGGAGCCCGGAGCCCAGCCCGUGCUGCCGGCGCCUCCUCAGGAAGCACUGCCCGUGCUCUUGGUGCUGCCGGUGGCCGGCGGCGAGCGAGCGGGGACAGCCCCGGUGCCCACGGAGGGCUCUGUCCACACGGACGGUCACGCAGUGGGGCAGGGGACACUGUCACUGUCACUGUCACAGCAGCUGUGGCUGCCGCAGGGCAGCUGCGGGACACGGCAGGAGCUGUGAGAGCCUCCCCUGCAGCAGGGCACGGUCCUUGCGAGCCUAAACUGAACUCCCAGCCCCCCAAAACAGCGAUCCAUGGAAUAGCUUGGGUGGGAAGGGACCCCAGAGCCCCUCCAGUGUCACCCCUGCCAUGGCAGGGACACCUCCCACUGUCCCAGUGCCCAGCCUGGCCUUGGGCACUGCCAGGGAUCCAGGGGCAGCCCCAGCUGCUCUGGGCACCCUGUGCCAGGGCCUGCCCACCCUGCCAGGGAACAAUUCCUGCCCCAAAUCCCAUCCAGCCCUGCCCUCUGCCACUGGCAGCCAUUCCCUGGCUCCUGGCCCUCCAGCCCUUGUCCAAAAUCCUUCUCUCCACUUUCCUGGAGCUCUCUCAGGCCCUGGAGGGGCUCUGA